CUAUAUGGGAUCUGAACCCAGGAGUGUGUCCUGGGAGUGCCGUCGGGCCCUCCCACCACAGGGGUCUCUGCGUGGGGCAACCUGGUGGCAUCUUCUCUUUCAGCUGCUUGAAGCUCUGGACCCCAGGAGGAGAGGGUAGCCUUCACAGCCUGUGACUUGGAACCUGCCCUUCCUCUCCAGUUAUGAUCACCAGCACCUUUGGAGAUCCAAGACUCCAGCUACCAAAAGUCCUCAUGCCCUCUCUGGAGCCAUAGGGAACCAUAGAUGGCCCUAGGUCUCUGGGCAAAGCUUAUGGCAGCUUGACUGGUUUGCACACUGGCUGCACAGGAGCAGUGAGACUCUCCCCAGUGUGAGUGUGCAAGGCAUGCAUGUGAGUGUGGGCCAUUGUGUUGAGGGGCAGACAAACUCAGGGCUUGGGCCGCCAUAACUAAUGACCAUAAACAGAUUGGCUCAAAACAGCAGACAUUCUCUCAUGAUUCUAGUGGCCAGAAGUUCACAAGUCAAGAACGGACGAGUUCCAGCUUCAGUGAGGGAGUCAAGCAGAACUGUUGUCCUGCAAGGGUCUCAGAAGGUAGGGCAGACUCUGCAUCCUCAAACUUCGGAGGUGUCCUGCAUGGCUGCGUCGCUCCUGCCACUUUCCUGAUGCUGCGACCCUUUAAUACAGUUCCUCAUGUGGUGGUGACCCCCCAACCAUAAAAUGAUUUUCAUUGCCACUUCAUAACUGUAAUUUUGAUACUGUUAUGAAUUGUAAUAUAAAUAUCUGUGUUUCCCAGUGGUCUUAGGUGACCCCUUGUGAAAGGCGAAUUCGACCCUCUAAAGGGGGUCUCAGUCCACAGGUUGACCUCUGACCUACACACACACACACACACACACACACACACACACACACACACACACACACAGGCAUACAUGUGCAUAUGCACCUGAACAUGACCAAAGGAGCCAUGACUAACAUUUUCAAUGUUUAGCCUUUUUAAUUUCCACUCUUGACACAGGAAAGUGAGUGGCGGGGGGGCGGGGGGAGUUGGACUGGCCCAUCCAAGGUCUCACAGCUUCAUGUGGUCGAUAUAGAAGUCUGACACUCCCGCGUUGUUCCUAAAGGGACAGCCCAGUCUCCCAACAGCCUACCUCCCUUCAGACGUGAGGUCACUAGGCCACAGGGAGCCCAGCCUCUGCCUCUUGGUCCAGAGAAGAACAGGACUGGAAGGACCCACUUCCUCUGCAAGGACUGGCUCCCUGACCCUGAACCAGCCUGCCGACAAGCUGUUUAAAGUUUCACACUUGUCCCGAUGGCUCCGGAAGCCCCCGCCAUCCAGAAAGGGACCUGUGUACUCAUCUCCAAGUUAAUUAUCGUCCUUUCUGCCACUGCCUUCCAGGGUGCCCGGCUCUCCAGGGUGCCGCUGCCACACCCCAGCUUCACCUGACUGCAUUUCAUGGUUUAUAGUUUGCAGGGUCAGUAGGGUACGUUUAUCCCUUUAGAGUGCCCUUUGCACUACCCAUCCAUGCAAACAGCGUCCCCAUGCCCUCGUCCCCAGUCUGGGCUCAGUCACUAAGGGGACAGCAGCAGAAUACUUCCCAGGAAACUCUGAGUCUUAUGCACAGUUGGGAAGCACUGGCCGGGGUCUCCUGUGACCACACACACCAAUGCUUUAAUUGUACGUGUGUCUGGGUAUGGGCACGUGCACAUGCAUGUAGGUGCCCCCAGAGCCCAGAAGCACUGGAUCCAUGGGGAGCUGGAACUGCAGGUGGGUGAGAGCUGCCAGAUGUGGUUGCUGGGAACCACACUCAAGCCGUCUCAUUAUUACUGUGGGGGUGCACACAUCCACACACAUGGAGGUCAAAGGACAGCUUUGUGGAGCUGGUUCUCUCUUUAUACCUUGACACAGAUUCCGAGUCAUCAGGCUCUGGAAGCAAGCACUUGACAUGAUGUCCCUUGAGUCCAUUCUUUGAAAGACGUAAGUUCUGUGUCUAGAUCCAUCUUUGUGCAAAUGGAUGGGCAGCUGCUGUCCCUUUACACCAUUGUGUCGCCUUGGUUCUCUUCUCAGCGGUGUGUACUGACUCCGUCUGUAGGUUUAUCUCUGGGCUCUCUGUUCUGUUUCCCUGAACUCUUGACUCUCCUGCCAACAUCCCCAAUGUCUUGGGGACUGGAAUCUUUAUAGUAGCUUCUUAUUAAAUUCCCAUUUUAAGAUUUA